rnacentral:rRNA from 1 species
UACAGAGGUCUCAAGCGUUGUUCGGAUUCAUUGGGCGUAAAGGGUGCGUAGGCGGCGGGGCAAGUCAGGUGUGAAAUCCCGGGGCUCAACCCCGGAACUGCACUUGAUACUGCUUCGCUAGAGUACUGGAGAGGAGACUGGAAUUUACGGUGUAGCAGUGAAAUGCGUAGAUAUCGUAAGGAAGACCAGUGGCGAAGGCGAGUCUCUGGACAGUUACUGACGCUGAGGCACGAAGGCCAGGGGAGCAAACGGG